UGGGGAGUACGGCCGCAAGGUUAAAACUCAAAUGAAUUGACGGGGGCCCGCACAAGCGGUGGAGCAUGUGGUUUAAUUCGAUGCAACGCGAAGAACCUUACCUGGUCUUGACAUCCACAGAACUUAGCAGAGAUGCUUUGGUGCCUUCGGGAACUGUGAGACAGGUGCUGCAUGGCUGUCGUCAGCUCGUGUUGUGAAAUGUUGGGUUAAGUCCCGCAACGAGCGCAACCCUUAUCCUUUGUUGCCAGCGGUCCGGCCGGGAACUCAAAGGAGACUGCCAGUGAUAAACUGGAGGAAGGUGGGGAUGACGUCAAGUCAUCAUGGCCCUUACGACCAGGGCUACACACGUGCUACAAUGGCAUAUACAAAGAGAAGCGACCUCGCGAGAGCAAGCGGACCUCAUAAAGUAUGUCGUAGUCCGGAUUGGAGUCUGCAACUCGACUCCAUGAAGUCGGAAUCGCUAGUAAUCGUAGAUCAGAAUGCUACGGUGAAUACGUUCCCGGGCCUUGUACACACCGCCCGUCACACCAUGGGAGUGGGUUGCAAAAGAAGUAGGUAGCUUAACCUUCGGGAGGGCGCUUACCACUUUGUGAUUCAUGACUGGGGUGAAGUCGUAACAAGGUAACCGUAGGGGAACCUGCGGUUGGAUCACCUCCUUACCUUAAAGAA
rnacentral:rRNA from 1 species